GAUGAACGCUAGCGGGAGGCCUAACACAUGCAAGCCGAGCGGUAGAGUUUCUUCGGAAACUUUAGAGCGGCGCACGGGUGCGUAACACGUGUGCAACCUACCUUUAUCUGGGGGAUAGCCUUUCGAAAGGAGGAUUAAUACCCCAUAAUAUAAUGAUUGGCAUCAAUUAUUAUUGAAAACUCCGGUGGAUAGAGAUGGGCACUCGCAAGAUUAGAUAGUUGGUGAGGUAACGGCUCACCAAGUCAAUGAUCUUUAGGGGUCCUGAGAGGGAGAUCCCCCACACUGGUACUGAGACACGGACCAGACUCCUACGGGAGGCAGCAGAGAGGAAUAUUGGACAAUGGGUGAGAGCCUGAUCCAGCCAUCCCGCGUGAAGGAUGACGGUCCUAUGGAUGGUAAACUUCUUUUGUACAGGGAUAAACCUACCCUCGUGAGGGUAGCUGAAGGUACUGUACGAAUAAGCACCGGCUAACUCCGUG
rnacentral:rRNA from 1 species